rnacentral:rRNA from 1 species
AUUGAACGCUGGCGGCAGGCCUAAUACAUGCAAGUCGAACGCGUGGCAGACGUGUGAGUAAUGUCUGGGAACCUGCCCGAUGGCGGGGGUUAACUACUGGAAACGGUACCUAAUACCGCAUACCAUCGGAUGAUCCCUGAUUGGAUUCGCUAGUAGGUGGGGUAACGGCUCACCUAGGCCACGAUCCCUAGCUGGUCUGAGAGGAUGACCGGCCACACUGGAACUGAGACACGGUCCAGACUCCUACGGGAGGCAGCAGUGGGGAAUAUUGCACAAUGGGCGAAAGCCUGAUGCAGCCAUGCCGCGUGGAUGAAGAAGGCCUUCGGGUUGUAAAGCACUGUCAGCGGGGAGGCGUUACUCGCAGAGGAAGCACCGGCUAACUACGUGCCAGCAGCCGCGGUAAUAC